UGGGGAAUUUUGGACAAUGGGCGCAAGCCUGAUCCAGCCAUGCCGCGUGCGGGAAGAAGGCCUUCGGGUUGUAAACCGCUUUUGUCAGGGAAGAAAUCUUCUGAGUUAAUACCUCGGAAGGAUGACGGUACCUGAAGAAUAAGCACCGGCUAACUACGUGCCAGCAGCCGCGGUAAUACGUAGGGUGCAAGCGUUAAUCGGAAUUACUGGGCGUAAAGCGUGCGCAGGCGGUUUUGUAAGACAGAGGUGAAAUCCCCGGGCUCAACCUGGGAACUGCCUUUGUGACUGCAAGGCUUGAGUGCGGCAGAGGGGGAUGGAAUUCCGCGUGUAGCAGUGAAAUGCGUAGAUAUGCGGAGGAACACCGAUGGCGAAGGCAAUCCCCUGGGCCUGCACUGACGCUCAUGCACGAAAGCGUGGGGAGCAAACAGGAUUAGAUACCCUGGUAGUCCACGCCCUAAACGAUGUCAACUGGUUGUUGGGAAGGUUCCUUCUCAGUAACGUAGCUAACGCGUGAAGUUGACCGCCUGGGGAGUACGGCCGCAAGGUUGAAACUUAAAGGAAUUGACGGGGUCAUAGCUGUUU
rnacentral:rRNA from 1 species